rnacentral:rRNA from 1 species
CCCAGACUCCUACGGGAGGCAGCAGUGAGGAAUAUUGGUCAAUGGCCGGAAGGCUGAACCAGCCAAGCCGCGUGAGGGAGGAAGGCGCAGAGCGUCGCAGACCUCUUUUGCCGGGGGACAAAAGGCCGGACGGGUCCGGUUCUGAGGGUACCCGGAGAAAAAGCAUCGGCUAACUCCGUGCCAGCAGCCGCGGUAAUACGGAGGAUGCGAGCGUUAUCCGGAUUCAUUGGGUUUAAAGGGUGCGCAGGCGGGCCUUUAAGCCGGCGGUGAAAUCGCGGGGCUCAACCUCGUCGAGCCGUUGAAACUGGGUGCCUUGAGUGGGCGAGAAGUACGCGGAAUGCGUGGUGUAGCGGUGAAAUGCAUAGAUAUCACGCAGAACUCCGAUUGCGAAGGCAGCGUACCGGCGCCCAACUGACGCUGAAGCACGAAGGCGUGGGUAUCGAACAGGAUUAGAUACCCCUGUA